GACGAACGCUGGCGGCGUGCCUAAUACAUGCAAGUCGAACGCAGUGGGGACGGGUGAGUAACACGUGGGUAACCUCCCCAUCAGAGGGGAUAACACUUGGACACAGGUGCUACACCGAUACUGAUGGAUGGACCCGCGGUUCAUUAGCGAGUUGGUGAGGUAACGGCUCACAAAGGCCACGAGGCAUAGCCGACCUGAGAGGGUGAGCGGACACACGGGGAGUGAGACACGGCCCAGAGUCCUACGGGCGGCAGCAGUAGGGAAUGUUCGGCAAUGGAAGAAAGUCUGACCGAGCAACGCCGCGUGAGUGAAGAAGGUUUUCGGAUCGUAAAACUCUGUUGUUAGAGAAGCGGUAUCUAACCAGAAAGACACGGCUAAAUCCGUGCCAGCGGCCGCGGUAAUAC
rnacentral:rRNA from 1 species